AUGAUUGCUAGUGCUUGGGACCCUGAUGUAGCGGCGACGGCGGCUGCCGGCCUUAAUCACAUGGUUGACCAGCUCAUGCUGCGACGACGGUGGUGCCUGGAUCUGGAGAUGGUUUGGUUGAGGAUGUAUCUGCACUGGACCGUUGCCCUGCUGAGCCUGAUGUGGAUUUUGAGCACCAAGCAUCUGCGCGGGGUGGUGACCCAUGGCCUGCUGCACAACACGCGCAACCUGCUGAGGAGAGAGCCUCCUGAAGUAAGCCUGCUGGAAGUCAAAGAAAUGGCAAGGCUGCGACAGAAAAGGAUUCAGCAGAGACAUUGUUCAGUAAGAAGAUGA
rnacentral:rRNA from 1 species